rnacentral:rRNA from 1 species
GACGUAGGUGGCGAACGUUAUCCGGAAUUAUUGGGCGUAAAGGGUGCGUAGAUGGUGUGAUAAGUUAUCAGUGGGAAAUCGAGGCUCAACCUCGUGGAAGUUGGUAAUACUAUUAUACUAGAGUGCAGGAGAAGUUAACGGAACUCCAUGUGGAGCGGUAAAAUGCGUAGAUAUAUGGAAGAACAUCAAUAACGGCGAAGGCAGUUAACUAUUCUGUUACUGACAUUGAGGCGCGAAAGCGUGGGGAGCAAAACGG